GACGAACGCUGGCGGCGUGCUUAACACAUGCAAGUCGAACGGAAGGGCCGUGCUUGUGUGGGGUGCUCGAGUGGCGAACGGGUGAGUAACACGUGAGUAACCUGCCCUUGACUUUGGGAUAACUUCAGGAAACUGGGGCUAAUACCGGAUAGGAGCUCCUGCUGCAGGGUGGGGGUUGGAAAGCUUCGGCGGUUGGGGAUGGACUCGCGGCUUAUCAGCUGGUUGGGGGGGUAGUGGCUUACCAAGGCUUUGGUGGGUAGCCGGCCUGAGAGGGUGGACGGCGACAUUGGGACUGAGGUACGGCCCAGACUCCUACGGGAGGCAGCAGUGGGGAAUAUUGCACAAUGGGCGGAAGCCUGAUGCAGCAACGCCGCGUGCGGGAUGACGGCCUUCGGGUUGUAAACCGCUUUCGCCUGUGACGAAGCGUGAGUGACGGUAAUGGGUAAAGAAGCACCGGCUAACUACGUG
rnacentral:rRNA from 1 species